rnacentral:rRNA from 1 species
UAAGAACGGCCAUGCACCACCACCCACAGAAUCAAGAAAGAGCUAUCAAUCUGUCAAUCCUUACUAUGUCUGGACCUGGUGAGUUUCCCCGUGUUGAGUCAAAUUAAGCCGCAGGCUCCACUCCUGGUGGUGCCCUUCCGUCAAUUCCUUUAAGUUUCAGUCUUGCGACCAUACUCCCCCUGGAACUCAAAGACUUUGAUUUCUCAAAAAAUACCGAAGGAAUCAACAGGCAACCGCCUCCAAUUUCUUGGUAGCAUAGUUUAUGGUUAAGACUAGGACGGUAUCUAAUCGUCUUCGAUCCCCUAACUUUCGUUCUUGAUUAAAGAAGACAUCCUUGGCAAAUGCAUUCGCAUUAGUUUGUCUUUAACAAAUCCAAGAAUUUCACCUCUGACAGUUAAAUACAAAUGCCCCCAACCAUCCCCAUCAA